rnacentral:rRNA from 1 species
GGAUCCAGACUUUGAUCAUGGCUCAGGACGAACGCUGGCGGCGUGCUUAACACAUGCAAGUCGAACGAGAAUCUACUGAAGGAGGAUUCGUCCAACGGAAGUAGAGGAAAGUGGCGGACGGGUGAGUAACGCGUGAGGAACCUGCCUUGAAGAGGGGGACAACAGUUGGAAACGACUGCUAAUACCGCAUGACGCAUAGAGGUCGCAUGAUCUUUAUGCCAAAGAUUUAUCGCUUCAAGAUGGCCUCGCGUCUGAUUAGCUGGUUGGCGGGGUAACGGCCCACCAAGGCGACGAUCAGUAGCCGGACUGAGAGGUUGAACGGCCACAUUGGGACUGAGAUACGGCCCAGACUCCUACGGGAGGCAGCAGUGGGGAAUAUUGGGCAAUGGGCGCAAGCCUGACCCAGCAACGCCGCGUGAAGGAAGAAGGCUUUCGGGUUGUAAACUUCUUUUAAGAGGGAAGAGCAGAAGACGGUACCUCUAGAAUAAGCCACGGCUAACUACGUGCCAGCAGCCGCGGUAAUACGUAGGUGGCAAGCGUUGUCCGGAUUUACUGGGUGUAAAGGGCGUGCAGCCGGGUCUGCAAGUCAGAUGUGAAAUCCAUGGGCUCAACCCAUGAACUGCAUUUGAAACUGUAGAUCUUGAGUGUCGGAGGGGCAAUCGGAAUUCCUAGUGUAGCGGUGAAAUGCGUAGAUAUUAGGAGGAACACCAGUGGCGAAGGCGGAUUGCUGGACGAUAACUGACGGUGAGGCGCGAAAGUGUGGGGAGCAAACAGGAUUAGAUACCCUGGUAGUCCACACUGUAAACGAUGAAUACUAGGUGUGCGGGGACUGACCCCCUGCGUGCCGCAGUAAACACAAUAAGUAUUCCACCUGGGGAGUACGAUCGCAAGGUUGCAACUCAAAGGAAUUGACGG